GGCGUCGCCAGGCCUCGCAACCUUCACCUGGAUCUGGAGAGUGCGCAGGGCCGCGGCCACACCGGGGCUUCAGGUCCUUGCCGCGCGAGAGGCGAGGAGGGCGCAGCGCAGAGGCUGAGUGGCGCAGGGUGGGCUGCGAAAGUGCCUCUGCUAGUCUUGAAAGUAAAGGUUUGGUUAAAAAUACCCUAAACCCUAAAAACCUCUGUACCUCCUGAUAUGGGUUGAAUAUUCGCAAGAAGGACUGGAUGACUAAAUCUGGGCUAUCUCCGUGAUUUCAGAGGAAACACUGCUCCCUCCAGCAACUUGAGGCUUUGUUUAUACGGGAGUAAUUCUGAGAAGGCAGUGAAACGCGUGUUUCAGACCCAGCCUUUCCUACUCCUGCUAAUCCACUGUUUUGAAGAGAAAGUAUCUGAGAUAUUAUUCCACUAAUUAACACUUUUGUUUUCCAACUCCGGCAUAUGUCCCUGGAAUUUAAAUGCUUUCUUCCCUUCCUCCUCAAAUUUAGUUUCUGCAGCGUAUAGUUCGUUUCAGACACGUGAUAGCACCUAACCAUCUGUUAGGGUUUUUGAAAGGUCUUGUCGAGGUCGAGCUGCAAAAAUGUGGAUUUUUUAAAAGUUAAUUAUUAACCAGACAGGUGAGGUAUCCG
rnacentral:lncRNA from 1 species